AGCGAGGCGGGGUGGAGAGCCGGCCCGGGGUCUGCCCCUUCACAUGGCGAUGUCUCCGGCAGGUCCCGGCAGCGGCCGCCCGGGCCACACAGCGCAGAGGGCAGGAAGUAAGCACCCGUGAAUGCUUUCGGGAAUCAUCAAGAAGCUUCGUUGCUGAAGAAUCCCCAAUCACAGCGAAGUCUUUGCCCCGACAGAAUUGCUGCUGGAGAUGCACGGGGCAGGGGGCCAAGGAGAGCAGGGUGUGCGAGGAGUAGGUUGCACCAACAGCCUGUUUUCUGAUGCAGAGAAUAUUCUGAAUGGAGCCAAUUCCUGUAAAUACUGAAAUUCACCACGGGGAAAAAUAAAGAAAAAAUCACAAAACAAA